AUGUACCCAAGUACACUCCGGUUCCUCCGCGCCGUCCGCACCCACCUGACGACUGCUCGCUACGUUUUGUUAGCC
rfam:Xanthomonas campestris pv. campestris str. ATCC 33913, complete genome.